CUCCAAAGCUACUGUCUUUUCACUGUGUUGAUUUUUCUCAGGAAGUGAAAUUCUGCUUCAUCGAUGAAUAACAGGAUUUUAUAUAAAACUUUGAAUGACAUAGGAGGGACAAUUUGCAUAGAACAACAAGUCCUCAAACUGGCCACAAGAAACUUCUGUACUUUUUCUCUCAAGGUCAUACAGCCCUGAAUCUGAUAGCAACAGAGCUUCAGCAAUAACAGCAGAUGCCAUCUUAGAUUAAUAUGAUGUCAGAAGUGGGAUCCAAAGUAGAGGUUCUAACGACCCCCAAGAACACUGAGUGACCAAACAAGGUACCUGCUGGACUCACUUGUGUCUGCUGAUCUUUCAGGGCAGCUGGGGAUUGUGGGCAGUUGCACAACCUGGAGGCUGGCAUCAUGGGGUCAUUUAGGAUUGAAUCUGAAGGAGCCGCUGUGGUGGAAAUGAAAUCCCUGCACAAAAGAAGCUGGGGCUGAACUAUCAUAUUCUCCUGGAAGUAGUGAACCAGCAGCUGAGCCACACAAAGGACAUGUUUGACAGAUAAAGAACACUGAUGCCAAGGUCUGAAAUAAAUUUUUUAGCAUUAACAUCUGUGUCUGUGCAAAGCUCUUGGCUGCUUUCUUCAUUUGAUGCUUGGAUGGGUCUGUUAGAUCUGUUGACUCCACUGCUAACCAUGCUAAUAUCUGUUUAGCAGGCUCUGGUGACCUGCCCACAAAAUCAGACAUUGAUUAAACUAUUUUAAAAGUCCUA
rnacentral:lncRNA from 10 species